rnacentral:rRNA from 1 species
AUUGAACGCUGGCGGCAGGCUUAACACAUGCAAGUCGAGCGGGGUGAUGGUGCUUGCACUAUCACUUAGCGGCGGACGGGUGAGUAAUGCUUAGGAAUCUGCCUAUUAGUGGGGGACAACAUCUCGAAAGGGAUGCUAAUACCGCAUACGUCCUACGGGAGAAAGCAGGGGAUCACUUGUGACCUUGCGCUAAUAGAUGAGCCUAAGUCGGAUUAGCUAGUUGGUGGGGUAAAGGCCUACCAAGGCGACGAUCUGUAGCGGGUCUGGGAGGAUGAUCAGCGAGCCUGGGACUGAGACACGGCACAGGCUCCUACGGGAGGCAGCAGUGGGGAAUAUUGGACAAUGGGGGGAACCCUGAUCCAGCCAUGCCGCGUGUGUGAAGAAGGCCUUAUGGUUGUAAAGCACUUUAAGCGAGGAGGAGGCUCUUUUGGUUAAUACCCAAGAUGAGUGGACGUUACUCGCAGAAUAAGCACCGGCUAACUCUGUGCCAGCCGCCGCCGUAA